rnacentral:rRNA from 1 species
UACGAAGGGUGCAAGCGUUGCUCGGAAUUAUUGGGCGUAAAGGGUAGGUAGGUGGUUACGUAUGUCUGGGGUGAAAUCCCUGAGCUUAACUCAGGAAGUGCCUUGGAAACGGCGUAACUAGAGUACUAGAGAGGUUCGUGGAAUUCCCGGUGUAGCGGUGAAAUGCGUAGAGAUCGGGAGGAACAUCAGAGGCGAAGGCGGCUCACUGGACCAUUACUGACGCUGAGGCACGAAAGCUAGGGGAGCAAACAGG